rnacentral:rRNA from 1 species
CCUACGGGUGGCAGCAGUGGGGAAUAUUGCACAAUGGGGGAAACCCUGAUGCAGCGACGCCGCGUGAGUGAAGAAGUAUUUCGGUAUGUAAAGCUCUAUCAGCAGGGAAGAAAAUGACGGUACCUGAUUAAGAAGCCCCGGCUAACGACGUGCCAGCAGCCGCGGGAAUACGGAGGGGGCAAGCGUUAUCCGGAUUUACUGGGUGUAAGGGGAGCGUAGGCGGCAGCACAAGUCUGGAGUGAAAUGCCGGGGCUUAACCCCGGAACUGCUUUGGAAACUGUGCAGCUAGAGUGCAGGAGAGGUAAGUGGAAUUCCUAGUGUAGCGGUGAAAUGCGUAGAUAUUAGGAGGAACACCAGUGGCGAAGGCGGCUUACUGGACUGUAACUGACGUUGAGGCUCGAACGCGUGGGGAGCAAACAGGAUUAGAUACCCGUGUAGUC